AACUAACGCUGGCGGCGUGCCUAACACAUGCAAGUCGUACGAGAAAGCCGGCUUCGGCUGGUGAGUAAAGUGGCGCACGGGUGAGUAACGCGUGGAUAAUCUGCCCUUAAGUGUGGAAUAACGUACCGAAAGGUGCGCUAAUACCGCAUAAUGCCUGGCAACACAAGUUGUCCGGCCAAAGAAGGCCUCUGUUUACAAGCUUUCGCUUCAGGAUGAGUCCGCGUACCAUUAGCUUGUUGUGGGGUAAUGGCCUACCAAGGCUGCGAUGGUUAGCUGGUCUGAGAGGAUGAUCAGCCACACUGGAACUGAGACACGGUCCAGACUCCUACGGGAGGCAGCAGUGAGGAAUAUUGCGCAAUGGGGGCAACCCUGACGCAGCAACGCCGCGUGAGUGAGGAAGGUUUUCGGACUGUAAAGCUCUGUCGAGCGGGAAGAAGUGUACCAUGGCUAAUAUCCAUGAUAUUUGAGGUACCGCUAGAG
rnacentral:rRNA from 1 species